rnacentral:rRNA from 1 species
AGCUCCAAUAGCGUAUAUUAAAGUUGUUGCAGUUAAAAAGCUCGUAGUUGGAUUUCUGGUAGGAGCGGCCGGUCCGCCCCGUAAUGGGGUGUGCACUAGAGCCGCCUCCGGCCAUCCUUGGGGGAACUGCCAUGGCCUUAAUUGGUUGUGGUAUGGAACCCAUCGUUUACUGUGAAAAAUUAGAGUGUUUAAAGCAGGCUUAGGCCGUUGAAUACAUUAGCAUGGAAUAAUAAGAUAGGACCUUAUGGACCUCUUGUUGGUUUGCGCCGUAAGGUAAUGAUUAAUAGGGAUAGUUGGGGGUAUUCGUAUUUAAUUGUCAGAGGUGAAAUUCUUGGAUUUAUGAAAGACGAACUUCUGCGAAAGCAUUUACCAAGGAUGUUUUCA